rnacentral:rRNA from 1 species
UACGUAGGGUGCAAGCGUUUGUCCGGAAUUAUUGGGCGUAAAGAGCUCGUAGGCGGUCUGUCGCGUCGGCUGUGAAAACCCGGGGCUCAACCCCGGGCCUGCAGUCGAUACGGGGCAGACUAGAGUGCGGUAGGGGAGACUGGAAUUCCUGGUGUAGCGGUGAAAUGCGCAGAUAUCAGGAGGAACACCGGUGGCGAAGGCGGGUCUCUGGGCCGUAACUGACGCUGAGGAGCGAAAGCGUGGGGAGCGAACAGG